UCUUCCUCUUCCCAUCACACAUCUUCUUUUUUUCACCAAACUUUCUCUCUCUAGAAGUUUAAGUAAUCUCUGGUAGUGAUUUUCUCUGACGGAAUACAACCCCGCUGAGAGGGGGUGAUUUGUACCAUCUGGCUCAAUGUUUUCCUUUUCUCUCUCUACAUCUCCAAGGUUUAAUGUUGUUAUUUCAGCUCAUUCCUCUCAUCUUCCUCAUUGUUUUCACCUCCUCACCAUGGGUUUGAGACCACUUCAGCUUUCUCUUCGAUGUAGUCAUUAUAGCCCAUUCUAAAGUCUCAACCGUCACAGUCUUCACCAUGGGUUUGUGGUGAUUGCAAAACAACAAUUGAGACUUGAUACAAAGUGCUGAUGGACGACUAAAGCACUUAAAGCAAUUUCGAGACCACAAUUCAAUGGGUAUCCUUCAUCACAAUCUAUGAAUAACACCGAUUGGCUCCAACAUUUACAAAUCGAGAAUUAAAUUCUUAUUAAAGCAGCCACACCCUGCAAUGUAUUUGGCUGGAUUAUAGAGAGCUUCCAGCCAUCAGGCAAGUUAGUAAUUUUGCUAUUAUUAUUAGUUUGUUUUACAUAGCAUUUGUUUAGUAAUUUAUUAUACAUACCAUUUAUUUUGUUAUACAUAGCCAUCAAGCAAGUUAAGUAAUUUGUUAUACAUAGCAUUUGUUUUGUUGUCAUUGGUAUAUGUCUGAAUGAAGGUUACAAUUACAGUCAAUAGUUCUUCAAGAAGAGAAAACACAGGUUUAAUUGCUUUAUUACAUUUAUGUUAUGGAUUCUUACAAUUUGUAUUUGAAGGUUUGCCUUUGUGGUGUACUAAAUAACUAUGUAUAUAUUUGGAUUGGUUGAUUGGCAAAACUAUUUUAUUUGUUUGACUUAAUUGCAUUUCCAUUUUUGUUUUUUGUUUUUAAUUUGCUUAAUAGGCUCACAUUAGAAAGCAUGAGGAAGAAGUAAAACUUUUUCAAAACCUAUCGCAUCCAAACAUUGAGUUAGAGUAGUGGAGUUUAUUGUUUGUUUUCUCACAUGACAAUGGACAUAACUAAGAUGAAGGAUGCGUCAAGUCCAUGGAGGGAGUGUUGGUGAACAUAGUUCUAAAGCGAGACAAUUUUAUAUGACAAUGUCACUUAAGCUAAAAUGUCUAUUGGUCACAUAUAGGAGAUGGUUUUGAAUUGGUUAUCUCUUUUCAAUGUUAAUUAACUCUCAAUUACA